CAGUCGCCACGGUAAUACGAAGGGUGCAAGCGUUAAUCGGAAUUACUGGGCGUAAAGCGUGCGUAGGCGGUGAGUUAAGUCUGCUGUGAAAUCCCCGGGCUCAACCUGGGAAUGGCAGUGGAUACUGGCUCGCUAGAGUGUGUCAGAGGAUGGUGGAAUUCCCGGUGUAGCGGUGAAAUGCGUAGAGAUCGGGAGGAACAUCAGUGGCGAAGGCGGCCAUCUGGGACAACACUGACGCUGAGGCACGAAAGCGUGGGGAGCAAACAGGAUUAGAUACCCGAGUAGUCCCUGUCUCUUAUAA
rnacentral:rRNA from 1 species